GUCAGUCAGUUGUAGGUUAUAGGUCAGGUGGUUAUAAGUCAACCACCUUGUAAGUUGUAAGUACAUAAGUUUAUAGGUUAAAAGUAUGAAAGUCGAAAGCUAUAGAGAUUGGAAGAUUGUGGAUCAUGGAGAGCAAUUAAACUUUAGGAACCAACCUACUGUGCCAUC